AUGGCUGUUUUUAGAAAUGAGUCCCGACAACCACCCAGGUAGGCAGGCAGCAACAGUGGCCAGAAAGUGUAAACGUGUCAAAGUUUUCUGCGGUCAAACCAACUGAACUUGUCUGAGCUUUGUGUGAAAGGGAAGGAAACACAGGCAGGCUAAACUCUGAUCUCAUCUUUACCCGAAAUGUAACCUCUCUCUUUGUCUUUCUGCUGCAUUAUUAUUGAAGCAAAGUAGAAACAUUUGUCAGACUCAGAGCAGCUGAGUGACAGAGUGUCAGUGCUGGAUGUGAGGAUGAGGUACACUUUGAUCUGUGUGCUGGGAUUAUUCUUGCUGAAUACACUCUUCUACGGACACUCUGAAGCAUAUAGACCAAAGGCCAAACUGAGUGCUGACAACAGAGACAUUCCAGUAGGGGGCAGUGUGACCCUGACCUGCUCUGUGGAC